rnacentral:rRNA from 1 species
UACGGGGGGAGCAAGCGUUGUUCGGAUUUACUGGGCGUAAAGGGCGCGUAGGCGGCCACCGCAAGUCGACUGUGAAAUCUCCGGGCUUAACCCCGGAAAGGUCAGCCGAUACUGCGGGGCUAGAGUGCAGAAGGGGCAACUGGAAUUCUCGGUGUAGCGGUGAAAUGCGUAGAUAUCGAGAGGAACACCUGCGGCGAAGGCGGGUUGCUGGGCUGACACUGACGCUGAUGCGCGAAAGCUAGGGGAGCGAACGGG